GAUGAACGCUGGCGGCGUGCCUAAUACAUGCAAGUCGAGCGAACGGACGAGAAGCUUGCUUCUCUGAUGUUAGCGGCGGACGGGUGAGUAACACGUGGAUAACCUACCUAUAAGACUGGGAUAACUUCGGGAAACCGGAGCUAAUACCGGAUACUAUUUUGAACCGCAUGGUUCAAAAGUGAAAGACGGUCUUGCUGUCACUUAUAGAUGGAUCCGCGCUGCAUUAGCUAGUUGGUAAGGUAACGGCUUACCAAGGCAACGAUGCAUAGCCGACCGGAGAGGGUGAGCGGCCACACUGGAACUGAGAGAGGGUCCAGACUCCUACGAGAGGCAGCAGUAGGGAAUCUUCCGCAAUGGGCGAAAGCCUGACGGAGCAACGCCGCGUGAGUGAUGAAGGUCUUCGGAUCGUAAAACUCUGUUAUUAGGGAAGAACAUAUGUGUAAGUAACUGUGCACAUCUUGACGGUACCUAAUCAGAAAGCCACGGCUAACUACGUG
rnacentral:rRNA from 1 species